rnacentral:miRNA from 1 species
GGCCUCAUCGGCCGGAAGGGAUUCCUUCCGGUCGAUGAGGCUGUUCCACCUCAUCGAUUGGAAGGAAUUCCUUCCGGUCGAUGGGGUU